CCCCUAAUUAGCGAAGCUCUGCCUCGUUAUUAUAACCAGGAAGUCACAAAGGAAAGACCUAUAAUAGCAAUUGAUUGAGUCUUUGUAAUUCUACAAUUACUGCCGGUAUGUUGGGGUUUUGUAUACAAAAUGUAACUUCAUGUAAAGCCAAUAAAAGCCAGCUGGAGAGCACUGAAGGCUUAGAAAACUGGCAAUAAAAGUUACCUAAUUAAAAAGGAGAAAUAUUUUCAAUAAUUGGGGUUAUUCCCUAUAGAUGUACCAAAAUGAAAAUCGGGUUUUGUCCCACUUAUAAAUGUAUUAUCAAAGAAACCUGGGUUUAUCCCAUUUCUUUAAUUUAAAUAUUUUUGGUGUUUAACUCUGAUAAAAAUAUUUCCUAACUACGGUCCUGAUGAAAUUUUCCGCUGCCAAAUUAAUAAACACCGAUACCACUGAAACUGGCUCACGGCCGCCCGCUCCCGGAAUAGGGGUCGGGGGUUGUGAC
rnacentral:lncRNA from 1 species